rnacentral:rRNA from 1 species
GACGGAGGAUGCAAGUGUUAUCCGGAAUCACUGGGCGUAAAGCGUCUGUAGGUGGUUUAAUAAGUCAACUGUUAAAUCUUGAGGCUCAACCUCAAAAUCGCAGUCGAAACUAUUAGGCUAGAGUAUAGUAGGGGUAAAGGGAAUUUCCAGUGGAGCGGUGAAAUGCGUAGAGAUUGGAAAGAACACCGAUGGCGAAGGCACUUUACUGGGCUAUUACUAACACUCAGAGACGGAAAGCUAGGGUAGCAAAUGGG